rnacentral:rRNA from 1 species
GAUGAACGCUGGCGGCGUGCCUAAUACAUGCAAGUCGAGCGAACGGACGAGAAUCUUGCUUUUCUGAUGUUAGCGGCGGGCGGGGGAGUAACAGGUGGAGAAACUCCCGAUUAGACUGGGAUAACUACGGGAAAAGGGAGUUAAUACGGGGAAUUAUUUUGAACGGUAUGGUUCAAAAGUGUAAGACGGUCUUGCAGGCACUAAUAGACGGAGACGCGCUUCAUUAUCUAGUGGGUGAGGUAAAGGCGUAACAAGGCAACGACGCAUAGCCGAACUGAGAGGCAGAGCGGCCACACUGGAACUGAGACACGGUCCAGACUCCUACGGGAGGCAGCCGGAGCGAAUCUUCCCCAAUGGACGAAAGCCUGACGGAGCAACACCGCGUGAAUGAUGGAGGUCUUCGGAUCGUGUAACUCUGUUAUUAGUGAAGUACUUAUGUGCUAGUAACUGUGCACAUCUUGACGGUACCUAAUCAGAAAGACCCGGCUAACUACGUG